rnacentral:rRNA from 1 species
GACGAACGCUGGCGGCGUGCCUAAUACAUGCAAGUAGAACGCUGAGGUUUGGUGUUUACACUAGACUGAUGAGUUGCGAACGGGUGAGUAACGCGUAGGUAACCUGCCUCAUAGCGGGGGAUAACUAUUGGAAACGAUAGCUAAUACCGCAUAAGAGUAAUUAACACAUGUUGGUUAUUUAAAAGGAGCAAUUGCUUCACUGUGAGAUGGACCUGCGUUGUAUUAGCUAGUUGGUGAGGUAAAGGCUCACCAAGGCGACGAUACAUAGCCGACCUGAGAGGGUGAUCGGCCACACUGGGACUGAGACACGGCCCAGACUCCUACGGGAGGCAGCAGUAGGGAAUCUUCGGCAAUGGACGGAAGUCUGACCGAGCAACGCCGCGUGAGUGAAGAAGGUUUUCGGAUCGUAAAGCUCUGUUGUUAGAGAAGAACGUUGGUAGGAGNGGAAAAUCUACCAAGNGACGGNAAC